rnacentral:rRNA from 1 species
CCUACGGGUGGCAGCAGUGAGGAAUAUUGGUCAAUGGUCGGGAGACUGAACCAGCCAAGCCGCGUGAGGGAUGAAGGUACAGAGUAUCGUAAACCUCUUUUGUCAGGGAAUAAAGGAGGGGACGUGUCCCCGGAUGAGUGUACCUGAAGAAAAAGCAUCGGCUAACUACGUGCCAGCAGCCGCGGUAAUACGGAGGGGGCAAGCGUUAUCCGGAUUUACUGGGUGUAAAGGGAGCGUAGGCGGCUAUGCAAGUCAGAAGUGAAAGCUCGGGGCUCAACUCCGGGACUGCUUUUGAAACUGUAUGGCUAGAUUGCAGGAGAGGCAAGUGGAAUUCCUAGUGUAGCGGUGAAAUGCGUAGAUAUUAGGAGGAACACCAGUGGCGAAGGCGGCUUGCUGGACUGUAAAUGACGCUGAGGCUCGAAAGCGUGGGGAGCAAACAGGAUUAGAUACCCCAGUAGUC